GCAUUAAAAAAACACCAGGCCUUUAUAACUUUAUAAAGUUAGAACAAGCUGGUAAAGUCACAAAUCCCCUUUCUGUAGUAUCGCUUUUGAAACCAGGAAAUAACACACUCAAGCCAUAUUGCAAUUUCCAAGAUCUAGGAUGAUAUCUACUCUCAAAUGCAAGUAUUAAUAGAUGAUCCAUAUAUUGCCCAGCAGUAGCUCACUGUCAUUGUACUUUUAUCAUUUUAGAAGUGGAGGUCAAAAUUGAAGAUGACUCUUGGGCCGAUGAGGACACACAACCAGAUAUUCAUGAGCUGGACCGUCAGGACGAACAACAUGGCGAAUGCCAGGGUCAAGAAAUCAAAGUGGAAGCUGAUAGAAAUGGACAGCACGGCCACGAGAGACCAUACGAGGAGAGCAGGAGCUGCAGCUACUAUGAGCACCGCGAGGAGAAGAGACAUUUUGCACUCGUGAGGAAGUAUUGGAUCUCCUGGAUUCCUCGCCAGAUGAAGAGGAUCUACUGCAUCCAUUUAACAACCCACAGGACACAAGUGACUCUGGUAACUGUCCUCGGUCAUCGGAAAGUUCAUACCAGCGCCGGACCUGUUUGUGGACUACAAUUGUAGCGUGGGUGGUGUGGACAUGUCCAACGGACUUAUUGGAACUUACAGCGUGAGCCACAGGACUAUGAAAUGGUACAAGACCUUUUUUUCCACUUUGUGGUUUUAUGACAACACAAUAAAGAGGGUGAGGAAGCAUUGCAAAAGGUGCAGCGAUGCUGGAAUGCCGAGGGCGAAGGCAUCCACUUACUGCAGGAGGUGUGAGGUUCCCCUCUGCUUUUCCAACACAAAGAACUGCUUCCAGCUGUGGCACGACGAACGAUAACCAGACAAAGCCCUUCACCUACAGCAGCUUCUAGUGUGCAUCAACGGCUCGGUUCCUAUGUUCCAUUUGAAGUCAACGUUCAGUUGAUUAGUGUGGUUGUUUUUUGAAUGGGUAAACAUAAAAGGGUCCAGUUGACACCCCCCCUUAACGGUGUAAAAUCAUUAAACAGCACAUUUCUUAAAGAAUACUUGCAAGCACGAUACACAAUUGACCCACAAGUCAUACUCAAAACUCUUAAUCUUCAUUUAUAUAAUUAAAUAGUUGGAAGAUAAAGUA